rnacentral:rRNA from 1 species
GACGAACGCUGGCGGCGUGCUUAACACAUGCAAGUCGAACGGUAAGGCCCUUCGGGGUACACGAGUGGCGAACGGGUGAGUAACACGUGGGUGAUCUGCCCUGCACUUCGGGAUAAGCCUGGGAAACUGGGUCUAAUACCGGAUAGGACUCCGGACUGCAUGGUCUGGGGUGGAAAGCUUUUGCGGUGUGGGAUGGGCCCGCGGCCUAUCAGCUUGUUGGUGGGGUGAUGGCCUACCAAGGCGACGACGGGUAGCCGGCCUGGGAGGGUGACCGGCCACACUGGGAGUGGGAUACGGCCCAGACUCCUACGGGAGGCAGCAGUGGGGAAUAUUGCACAAUGGGCGCAAGCCUGAUGCAGCGACGCCGCGUGAGGGAUGACGGCCUUCGGGUUGUAAACCUCUUUCAGCACCGACGAAGCGCAAGUGACGGUAGGUGCAGAAGAAGGACCGGCCAACUACGUGCCAGCAGCCGCCGUAA